rnacentral:tRNA from 1 species
GGAGGGAUGGGAGAGUGGUUAAAUCCACCAGACUGUAAAUCUGGCGUCCGGAAGGGCUACGUAGGUUCGAAUCCUACUCCCUGCACCA